rnacentral:lncRNA from 1 species
UCCCCAUUUGUCAAGUAAGGAUACUUUUUCCAAGUCUGUCAAAAUAAGGAUAAGCCAAGUUAAGCUACCUUAAAACUCCGAAAUUCUAUGACUUAAAAUAGGAGAGCAUUUUAAGAAGACUUUUAUGCUAGGAUUAUUCAAAUAGCCAGUUCCUGCUAAGCCUGCCCCUCUCUGAGCUCUUGUGUCAGUGAGGGCAGGUGUGUGGCCAGCUCCUACGCUUCCCAACUCCCAAGUUCUUUCCUGCACAAGGUCCAAUUGCUGGGUGAGUCAGGGUGGGGUUGCUUUUUACACCGGGUACUGGCAGGCACCACCAGGAGAGGUGUUUAUUUUUCUUUUUAGGACCUCGCCUGUGGCAUAUGGAGGUUCCCAGGCUAGGGGUCUAAUUGGAGCUGUAGCCGCUGGCCUACAGCAGAGCCACAGCAACAUGGGAUCCAAGCCACGUCUUCGACUUAUACCACAGCUCACGGCAAUGCCAGAUCCUUAACCCACUGAGCGAGGCCAAGGAUCGAACCCACAAGCUCAUGGUUCAUAGUUGGAUUCGUUAACCACUGAGCCACAACGGGAAUUCCAUGUGGGCUUUUAAAUAUUUGUGAAAAACAAAGACAAUAAACAGUUUUGUGUGACUUGCCUUGAAGCUCCUAAUUCCAUGGCUGGAAUUUAAUAAGAAAGUUGGGGAGUUCCUGAAAAAAAAAAAGAAAGAAAGAAAGUUGGGGAGUUCCUGUUGUGUUCCAGCAAAAACAAUCUGACUAGUAUCCAUGAGGAUGCAGAUUCGAUCCCUGGCCUCGCUCAGUGGAUUAAGGAUCCGGUAUUGCUUGAGCUGUGGGCGUAGGUCACAGAUGUGGCUUGGACCUGGCAUUGCUAUGGCUGUGGCGUAGGCUGGUAGCUUCAGCGCCAAUUCGACCCCUAGUCUGGGAACCUCCAUAUGCUGUGAGUACAGCCCUAAGAAGACAAAAAAAAAAAAAAGAAGAAGAAGAAGAAGAAGAAAAAUAAAUAGAUUUUGUAGGCUAUGUUUCUUCUUUUCUUUUCUUUUUCUUUUUAAAUGGCUAUACACUUAGCAUAUGGAAAUUCCCAGGCUAGGGAUCGAAUCCAAGCAGCAGUUGCGACCUACUUCAUAGGUGCAAUAACGCCAGAUCCUUUAAUCCACUGGGCUGGGCAGGGGAUUGAACCCACACCUCCACAGCGACCUGAGCUGCUGCAGUCAGAUUCUCAACCCACUGCAUCAUGAAGGAAACUCCAACUCUUGUUUUCUUUAUAGUCAGCAUGAAACGAGAAAGGUUACACCCUGGUUCUGGCAAAGAUUUCCUAACAGAUGAAUAAAAAUGGACUGGGACAUGGAAUGUUUGCUUGACAUAUUGCUUUCUAAUUUGGAGGACUGUCCAAGUUAAUGUUCUUUCCUUAUAAUUAGGUUUAUUAAUAUUAAAUUCUUGCAUAACAUAGGACUUUCUGGUUUAGAACUAGAAGAGACAUUUUCCCAUAAAUUCUAGAUUUCAGAUUCCUACACUUAUUCAUGGAAAAACUUUUUAACUAUUCAAAACUACUUUGUGGGUUUACAUGUUAUUAGGAGGCACAAAGCAGGAUGUAGGCGUGGGUAGUUCUGUAUUUUAAGACCUCAGUAUGCAUUCACUUACCAGUUUUCACUUUGGGCAAGUUACCUAAACCUCUCUGUGCCUCAGUUUCCUUGAUUUUAUUAUGGGGAUGAUAAUAGUGUCCCUCACAAAGCUAAACUCAGUGUUUGGGAAUGUGCCUAUUACAGGAUGAGGACUUAAGAAAUAAGAGUUUUAUAUUAUCAAAAGGUUAUUAUCAAGAAAUUCCCUGGUGGCUCAGUGUGUUAAGGAUCUGGUGUUGUCACUGCUGUGGCUCAGGUGGCACCUGUGAUGUGGGUUCAGUCCCUGGCCACAGAACUUCCACAUGCCAU